CCUACGGGUGGCAGCAGUGAGGAAUAUUGGUCAAUGGGCUUACGCCUGAACCAGCCAAGUCGCGUGAGGGAAGACUGCCCUAUGGGUUGUAAACCUCUUUUGUCAGGGAGCAACGCCGGCUACGUGUAGCCGGACUGAGAGUACCUGAAGAAAAAGCAUCGGCUAACUCCGUGCCAGCAGCCGCGGUAAUACGGAGGAUGCGAGCGUUAUACGGAUUUAUUGGGUUUAAAGGGUGCGUAGGCGGAAUGCCAAGUCAGCGGUAAAAUCGCGGGGCUCAACCUCGCUCCGCCGGUGAAACUGGCGGUCUUGAGUGGGCGAGAAGUAUGCGGAAUGCGUGGUGGAGCGGUGAAAUGCAUAGAUAUCACGCAGAACUCCGAUUGCGAAGGCAGCAUACCGGCGCCCAACUGACGCUGAAGCACGAAAGCGUGGGUAUCGAACAGGAUUAGAUACCCCUGGAGUC
rnacentral:rRNA from 1 species